UGUGAGGCUGGUAUCUUUCUUCCCCUCUCUCUCCGCUCAAUCUGUAACCACCAGCAACGGAGGCGGUGGGGGCACUGGACAAAAAAGCUUUUUAUUUUAUUUUUUAAUUUUUUGUUUUACCACGCACAGUUGCGCUAGCUGUCACAGGCGUGCGCGCAAAUGUAAAUAAGACGCUUUCCGUGUCCCAGACUUUUGGUUUGGUUACGUAUUUGACAAACCCAGUUAUUCCUGUCCCAUUUUUCCAUUUUUAAAAUCAAUUCUCUAUGUAGCUUGUAAGUUAGCCGAUGAUCAGUAAAGGUCGCUACAUGGUCGCCUCGCAUCAGAGCAGCCCGUAGCCUCGUAGGGGCUGGAGAAGCCUUUUCUUUCCUUCCUUUCUUUUCUCUCUCUUUCUUCAUGAGAAGGCAUCUUUAUCACUACGUGCAGCCGUGCAUUUGCAGAUCGCAUUGAAUGCGUGUUGGAGGGCGCACAGGGAAAACACUGGGGUACAGCACCCAGGCAGCCAGCUAGCUGCCGCUCCACGGGCUCACAAGGGCGGCUUGGAGUUUAAUUCUUUUUCAGGAUUUCUGUUUUUCCUUUUUGUCCUUCUCCCUUUCACACAUCCAUAAUGUUAUCGUAUGCGGCCAGCAUGUUGGUGACUGCGCUGCUUUUCCUGGGAUUUUCGCGCAGUUUGGAGGUGAUCGCUCCCACCAGAGCAAUUGAUGCUCCGAAGACGUGCAGCCCCAAGCAGUUUGUGUGUAAGGACCAGGUGACCUGCAUCUCCAAAGGGUGGCGCUGUGACGGCGAGAAGGACUGUCCCGACGGCUCCGACGAGGCCCUCGACAUCUGUCCACACAGCCGUGUGUCACGGUGCCCCCCCCAAUGAAUACCAGUGCCUGGGCACUGAGACCUGCA